UACAGAGGGGGCAAGCGUUGUUCGGAUUUACUGGGCGUAAAGGGCGCGUAGGCGGCAUGACAAGUCACUUGUGAAAUCUCUGGGCUUAACUCAGAACGGCCAAGUGAUACUGUCGCGCUAGAGUGCAGAAAGGGCAAUCGGAAUUCUUGGUGUAGCGGUGAAAUGCGUAGAUAUCAAGAGGAACACCUGAGGCGAAGGCGGGUUGCUAGGCUGACACUGACGCUGAUGCGCGAAAGCCAGGGGAGCAAACGGG
rnacentral:rRNA from 1 species